CCUACGGGAGGCAGCAGUGAGGAAUAUUGCCCAAUGGGGGAAACCCUGAGGCAGCAACGCCGCGUGGAUGAAGAAGGCCUUCGGGUUGUAAAAUCCUUUUAACAGGGAAGAUAGUGACGGUACCUGAAGAAUAAGUCCCGGCUAACUACGUGCCAGCAGCCGCGGUAAAACGUAGGGGACAAGCGUUAUCCGGAUUUAUUGGGCGUAAAGCGCACGUAGGCGGCAUGGUAAGUUGGACGUGAAAGCUCCCGGCUUAACUGGGAGAGGUCGGACAAGACUGCGAUGCUAGAGGCUGGAAGAGGAGCGUGGAAUUCCCGGUGUAGUGGUGGAAUGCGUAGAUAUCGGGAGGAACACCAGUGGCGAAAGCGACGCUCUAGUUCAGCACUGACGCUCAUGUGCGAAAGCGUGGGGAGCGAACGGGAUUAGAUACCCUUGUAGUC
rnacentral:rRNA from 1 species